rnacentral:rRNA from 1 species
AUUGAACGCUGGCGGCAUGCCUUACACAUGCAAGUCGAACGGCAGCACGGGGGCAACCCUGGUGGCGAGUGGCGGACGGGUGAGUAAUGCAUCGGAACGUGCCCUGAAGUGGGGGAUAACGCAGCGAAAGCUACGCUAAUACCGCAUAUUCUGUGAGCAGGAAAGCAGGGGAUCGCAAGACCUUGCGCUUUGGGAGCGGCCGAUGUCGGAUUAGCUAGUUGGUGGGGUAAAGGCCUACCAAGGCGACGAUCCGUAGCGGGUCUGAGAGGAUGAUCCGCCACACUGGGACUGAGACACGGCCCAGACUCCUACGGGAGGCAGCAGUGGGGAAUUUUGGACAAUGGGGGCAACCCUGAUCCAGCCAUUCCGCGUGAGUGAAGAAGGCCUGGUGUAAG